rnacentral:lncRNA from 1 species
UCUUUCUUAAAGAACACCAUUAUCGAAAUGAUGUCAUAUGGCUGGUUUUAAAAGUUUUCUGCAUGAUGUAUUGUGAAAUUCAAAACAAUUUUUAAAAGAAUAUUAUAAGCUUGUUAGUAAAACUCAUUUGUAUAUGUGACAAUUCUCUUUUAGCCCUGAAAGACUAUUUGCGCAGAUGCCAGUUACUUAACAAAUUUGAAGUAUUAGGAUAAGGCACAUUAUAAAUGUAGUGUUUUUCCAAAUUGAGUUGUGAUUCUAAUAGGCAAUGUAAUAGCUCUUGAAAUUCGAAUUAUUUUAUAAUAUUAACUGUAUGCAUAAAUUCGGAUUAAAUAUUUUGUGGUAUUAACUGUAUGUAUAAUUUCUUUAUAGUGAAUGAAUAUAAAAAAGCAGCAAGGCACACCUCUUAAUUUAUUUCCCAGCCCAAAGCACUUUCCCUAUCAUCUGUACAAAAAGUAGUGGUAGGGCAGUGCAGGAGCUUGCAGUCAGAUUUCCUUGGAUUGGUUUCCAGGUCCUACUAUUUACUUGCUAAAUGACUGUAGGCAGGUGUGUUCAUUGUCAUAAUCAAAGUAUCUCUGCCCUUAAACACAAAAAGAAGAUGAAUACAGACCAUUUUGUGUUCUCUGAAGGAAAUAAAGAUGAGUAAUUGGCGUACACAA